rnacentral:rRNA from 1 species
UACGUAGGGAGCAAGCGUUGUCCGGAAUCAUUGGGCGUAAAGCGCGCGUAGGUGGCCAUAUAAGUCCGUUGUGAAAGUCAAAGGCUCAACCUUUGAAAGCCGAUGGAUACUGUGUGGCUAGAGUACGGAAGAGGCGAGUGGAAUUCCUGGUGUAGCGGUGGAAUGCGCAGAUAUCAGGAGGAACACCAAUAGCGAAGGCAGCUCGCUGGGACGUUACUGACACUGAGGCGCGAAAGCGUGGGGAGCGAACAGG